rnacentral:rRNA from 1 species
GACGAACGCUGGCGGCGUGCUUAACACAUGCAAGUCGAACGGAAAGGCCCUGCUUUUGUGGGGUGCUCGAGUGGCGAACGGGUGAGUAACACGUGAGUAACCUGCCCUUGACUUUGGGAUAACUUCAGGAAACUGGGGCUAAUACCGGAUAGGAGCUCCUGCUGCAUGGUGGGGGUUGGAAAGUUUCGGCGGUUGGGGAUGGACUCGCGGCUUAUCAGCUUGUUGGUGGGGUAGUGGCUUACCAAGGCUUUGACGGGUAGCCGGCCUGAGAGGGUGACCGGCCACAUUGGGACUGAGAUACGGACCAGACUCGUACGGGAGGCAGCAGUGGGGAAUAUUGCACAAUGGGCGGAAGCCUGAUGCAGCAACGCCGCGUGCGGGAUGACGGCCUUCGGGCUGUAAACAGCUUUCGCCUGUGACGAAGAGUGAGUGACGGUAAUGGGUAAAGAAGCACCGGCUAACUACGUG